UAGCUGCUCCCUCUGCUAGAAUGGACUAUUUCUUCAGAAGAUCAGAAGAUCUUUCUCAGUCAAAACAGAGCAGUGGCAUGGGCAGCAUGUCUAACGUUGGUAAUGUUUAUUCGAGGUUAUAGCAAAUUUCUGAAUGGAGAUAUUGUAAUGGUUUGUUAGUCUUGUUUCUAUUAAUAUUUGUCUAUGAUGGUCAUAGCUUAAAACAUGGGGCUGUGACCUGAUUUACAAAAAAAAAAUAUUUGCAGAAACAAUAUACUAAACUAUUAUGAUCAAACUGUCUCAUACCAUCUUUAUAGGCUUCUUGUUUUUAAGUGUCAUUGUUUGAUAUUGUGGUUGUCAAAAGGAGCAAAGGAGAAACACCAACUACAGAAUGCUGGAUAGUGGUGGUUGCAUAGGUGAAAGACGAAGGAUUAUUCUGUAAUAGAUCACUUUAAAUGAUAUUCUAAGCAUUCCCAAGUAUACAAAUGUACCUGUUGAGAUUAUUUUACAUUUGGCUUUAAAAAACAAACCAGAAACCCCAUGCCAUAUAGCAUGCUUGGUUGAACAUGCCACCUUAGCCUGAUAGGACCUGGACUCCAACAAUAUGUCGAGGGCCAGAGGUUCUCCACCCUUGCUAUGUUUACCAAAAUACACUUGAAAUUCUUCCCAGUUUCAAAAGCAGUAUGGCAUGUGAUGUGAAAAGCUACUCUUUGAGAAACCGCAAGCUCAAAGGCCCUUUGGGUAUCUGAGACUAUUCAUAUGGUCCUUUUGAUCCUAACCAUUGCUUAUCUAAGUCUUGCUCGGCCUACAUGUGCAUCACACCCAACCAUGAUGAUAUGUUCUGUGCAUACAGUAGAACAGACAUGAUGGAGUAAAAUGGACAUUGUACCAUGUGUACCAUGUCUAGCUCUUUCCUGUGAAAGUUGCUUGAAUCUGAGUGCACAUUUUUGCUGUUUUCAAUCAAGGCUUCCAGUGACUUGGCAUUCAGCAGAGUGGCAGAAAAGCAACCACAUCACCUAAACAAAGUGAGAGCAUAACAUGUUUUGGCAAACUGAUGCUGGUAGUGUGUUAAAGGUCCCUUCAUGAAGAACCAUUUGUACAACAGGGUCCCAUUUGUUCAUCUUUCUUCCCUCUCCCAUAUGGAUUAUGGUAAUACAUAGUCCAUGUUUAUGGGAGUCUGUCCAUACAAACAGUAAAACUGAAAGAAAAAAAUAAUGGAAAGAUCCAGGCCCCUAGUCCCCUUGCUGAUUGAUGUAAAAGGCAUGCUCAGUUCUUCUACAUCUUUUAUUUGCCGGGGGGGGGAGGGUUUGCACUGUUUAUGGUUUUAUCCUUUCCUGCUGCUUUCCACCUUGCUUUGCAAUGUGGUCUACAGGAUCUGGUCUACUGCUGUAUGUUUGGGAACUAUGCAUUUCAUUGCUCUAAUAUGCUAGGAACUUACAAUUAUUUACAAUAGAUCGACUGGAGGGAGAUAGUUGUUAUGUUAUUCAUUUGGAUUGAUUGCUUUGCCAGUGCAAGCCAUUUGUUAAUCAAUAUGCAAAUCAUAUCCAAUUGCUAAUUAUUUAAUCAUGUUUUGUAUUCAUUACUAUAUAUUCUAUUUUCUGUAUGCAUUCUGUAUCAUUUAUAAUUCUAUUUCACAUCACCUCCAAUUUUUCAUCUCUAUUAUUGUUUAUAUAUCAAUAAACCAAGUAAUUAAUUUCAGUUA